CCUGCUAUGCGACUAGCAGUAGCCUAGGAGGACAUGCGUCACUGGCGACGGUGGGGUGUGAAGCUUCUCUGACAAUGUAGCCCCCGGAUGUUUCGGGCAAGCGGCAGUUGUGAAACUAACGCUUGGAGACUCCCAGCAGCAACGGGGUCGAGGAG
rnacentral:ncRNA from 1 species